UACAGAGGGGGCAAGCGUUGUUCGGAAUUACUGGGCGUAAAGGGCGCGUAGGCGGCUCGCCAAGUCCCGCGUGAAAGCCCCCGGCUCAACUGGGGAACUGCGCGGGAAACUGUCGGACUUGAGUUCGGGAGAGGGAAGCGGAAUUCCGGGUGUAGCGGUGAAAUGCGUAGAUAUCCGGAGGAACACCGGUGGCGAAGGCGGCUUCCUGGACCGACACUGACGCUGAAGCGCGAAAGCUAGGGGAGCAAACGGG
rnacentral:rRNA from 1 species